rnacentral:rRNA from 1 species
UCUGGUGGUUAUAGCGGAGCACUUGCACCCGAUCCCAUCCCGAACUCGGCCGUUAAAGGCUCCCGCGCUGAUGGUACUGCAUCUUAAGAUGUGGGAGAGUAAGUCACUGCCAGAC